rnacentral:lncRNA from 1 species
AAUCAAAAAGAAGUGAAAGUUCAUACUGGAGUUUGGAAAGCAUUUGAAUUUAAGUUAUUUUUCUUCUUUUGCUUAAGUGUUAAAAAAAUAACAGAAAACACAGGUCAGGGCCAUUUCAACAAUUCACAUAUAGCAUUCAGCCUACAGAAAAUUCAGCAUAUAGGAUAAAAUAUUCCCAAUAUGCUGAAAACAUUGUUAACUUUUACCUGAGACCUGGGAGUACCCAUUGCUUAUUUAGAUGUGUAUUCCUUACCCAACCCCCCAGCCCUCAGAACCAAAUCACUGUUUGGCUGUAACCUGAUUUUAAUAUGUGUGUGCAAUAGCAGGGAGUCUUUACAGCCAAUGAUUAAAGCUCGAGCAAAACAGAGACUUUGGACUUUGAUCAGAAAAUGGAUUAAAUUCUCAGAUGAGGCUGAUCAGAAGCGGAAAUGCCAGGAGACGCCAACAUUCUCCAUUUCUUUCAGGAACAGCUUGGGACAGAGUCCUUUCAUUAGGAGUGUACUCUUCUAUAAAAGGAUCCAGCUACAAUUUGUAAAAAAUUAGCUGUUUAUUCAUGUUUGGGGGGUCUUUGCUAAAAGAAGGAGCACUGGAUGAGGCUGCCUGGAGCUUCCUGGUCCUGCCAAUGUCCCUCAUGGGCUGUGUCGUCAACCUUGCUCCCUUGUUCCUUGUCACAGAGAUGGGACAUGGGUUUCUCUGGGCACCGUGAUGUGCUCAGCUACAUGGCCGGUUUGUCAAACCAUGCAGGGUCCGGAUGUUGCCUGCUUGCACGGUUAUGUACUUUACGCAUGUGAAUGCUGCAAAAACACGAGGCAGCUCUGUUACUGGCACUCACACCAGACCAACAGCCAGUGACGCUGCCCCAUCGGCCCCCACACCCAGACCUGGGGCAAGGUGAUGAAAGCCUAUGGGGACUUUCUACAUGAGCGCUCCCUACACCUCGAAGAUGAGGGAUGGAAAACAAAGGAUUUCCUCUGCUUAUGCACAGGACAGGAGUAGCUGUAUCUCUCUCUCUUCAUCCAGAAAGGAGGAAGAGCGACUUUUGCUCCUUGGAAAUGGGACGGAAAGGACCCUGGCUUCUAACCUUGAUCUUUUUGAACGUAAAAUUGCUCCAAGAGUCAGAGAGUCCCAUGUGUCUGGGUUUUUACAACCUAGACAGGUGUCCAAGGCCUAGGCUUUCUCUCUUUGGACAGUAGACCUAAGCAGAGGGCACUCCAGUCUCCCUGGCAUCUGGGGCUUAACUGUGUGUAUGUGUGUGUGUCUGUGUUUCUGCAGGAUCAGUCUGGCUAUGGAACGUUCUAACCCUCAAUCAAUGGACGUAGCAGCUGGUCACUAGUGCUGGCCAUCCCCCUACGCAGCCCCACAGCACCAUCCCAGCCACCCAGGGAUGUAUUUGCUUUCCUUCUCUUAACUUUUAACACUUUCUCCACAAUUUUCUUGGGUAUAAUUGGCAGGAAUAUAAACGUUCAUGGUAGAAAACCUAACCGUGAUAAGGAACAGACCCUGCUUGCUUACUGAGUAUCAGGCACAAUCUUAGGGGCUUUGCGUGCACUGUCGGUGAAUUCUCAGGGCAGCAGCACGAAGCAGCAGGGACCUCUGGCUGACAGCGGAGGACGGGGAGGUCCCAGGUUUCAGCAACUUUCCUAAGCUCCACAGUUGGGAAGGAGUAGAGCAGGAGCUGAACUCCAGGCCCCGAUUUGACAGAUCAGUCCUUUCAUUUAUCCAUUUUUAAAACUACAAUGGAAUCAGACUGUCAUUUGUCACUUGUCCCCUUGCACUUCUUAUAGGCACUAAUAAUUUUCAGAAUAUGUUCACCCUCAAUUAUCUCAUUUGAUCUUAACACAAAUGCCUUUUGGAAGGCGGGUCUCAUAUUCUCAAUUUCCUAGGGGACGCAGAGAGAUGAGGCACUUUGUCGUGGCUGAAAGGGGCUAGACCAGGGGUCCCUCGGUCCUGGUGCCACUGGUCUCUCCAUCUCAACCCACUGACUAUGCAAAUUCAUCUUCAAGGAAAAGAAGUGAAAUCAGUGCAUAUGAUCAGGAAAAGCAAAUUUUCAAUGUUUAUUGUUCCACCUUAUGGGAAUCAUAAAAAUAAGCUAAGCCAAUGGUGGCCAUCUGGGGACUUGAAAUACACAGUAUUUGUCCUUUAAUUCACAACUACAGUCCUGCUCCUGUUUGUAAAAUGAUCAGCACCUACAUCAAAAGACAGGUAAGGGGAGGCAUGGGGAAAGGUGUAUGAUGACCUCGUGCUGGGAGGCUGAAGACAUGUUUCUCUGCCCAGCUCUGCCUCCAGCAAGCCUCAGUUUCCCCUUCUGUGAAAUGAUGGCUCUGGUGGCCUGACCUCUGAGCUCUCUUCCAGCUCCACAGCAUUGACUCUCCUACGGGGGACACAUCCUGGGGAGACUCGGCCUAAGAAUCAAAGCUGAAGAUCUGUCUUUAAUCAGAUUGGAAGCUAACCCCAAAUAUUCCCCAGAAGUUUCUUGAUAGUUAUCAAAAGAGGAAACUGCAAAAGGAAAAUGUAAAUUUUUUAUCUUAAGAAUGGCAAUCCGUAGUUAGGUAUAAUAAAAAGAACAGGACUUUGGUAAAAUAUGGCAUUUGACAGCCUUUUAGACAGAAUAUAAAAUAGAUCCACUAUGGGCCCAAGCUAUCAGAAUCAAUGAUCUACUCUGCCUGAAUUCAAGUUAAUUCAGGCUUCUAUGUUGAUUAGAAAAAAUCUUGGGAUAUGAGGUUUGCCCUGAACAGUAAUAAGUUCUGGAAGGAUAGGGACUAGCUGAAUGACUCUGGUGUCUGCGAGCAUCAUAAUUUAUUAAAAUUAGCAAUACAAGUGGCACCACCAAUAAAACUGCACUAAGGUCCUCAAAGGAACUGUUGGUUUUGAUUCUGGCUCCUGAAAAAUCUGCCCCAGAACUAAGAGGAGCACCACAUUUCACGAUUUAUAGACCUCCUCUCAUAUUCUUUCCAAAGUUCUUCCAUAUUUCCAACCACACUUCUCCCCAUCUGAGAAAGUUGGGCAGUACCAUUCCUCCCAAACCCUGGCACUACUCCUGUGGCCUGGGGGCACGCUUUCAUGCUAGGAGCAAAAUGCAAGCCUGAAGAACCAGGAAAACAUGCUAAUUCUGCGGUGUGCGGACCGGAACAAGAAGGGAAUUAACCUGGGACAGCCUAUCUGCAUAAUCAGAAUUCAAGUGCCCCUUGAAUCAUAGUUAAUUCCUGCCCAUAGAAAUUCAUGGUCGGCCACAAAAAAACGAGCAAUCCCAACCCCAUCAUCCCCCAUCAUCGUUGUCCAAGGCACAAAUAUAAGUCGCCAUAGCUGGAAAACUGUCCUGAAAUCAGUUCAUGUUUAGAACUCUUUGAAACAAUAUGCAGCCCAGAAUAAUUAAGAGAGGCAUUAUUCA